rnacentral:lncRNA from 1 species
UCGGACCGGUGUCACUGUGGUCCUGCUGUCUCUGAGACCAGAUCAAUGUCACUGCGGUCCUGCUGUCUCUGAGACCAGAUCAAUGUCAGUGUGGUCCUGCUGUCUCUGAGACCGGACCUGCGUCACUGUGGUCCUGCUGUCUCUGAGACCGGACCGGUGUCACUGCGGUCCUGCUGUCUCUGAGACUGGAUCAAUGUCAGUGUGGUCCUGCUGUCUCUGAGACCAGAUCAAUGUCAGUGUGGUCCUGCUGUCUCUGAGACCGGACCUGCGUCACUACUGUCUCUGAGACGGGAUCUGUGUCUCUGCGGUCCUGCUGUCUCUGAGACUGGAUCUGUGUCACUGCGGUCCUGCUGUCUCUGAGACCGGACCGGUGUCACUGCGGUCCUGCUGUCUCUGAGACCGGACCGGUGUCGCUGCUGGAACGGGAGCUGCUCUCAGUCAGAGCUGAGGGAGAGAGAGGAGCAGGAGGGAGAGAGGGAGAGAGGCGGUUUGUUCAGAAGGUAGCUUUAUUGGGUGAAGAGCUCCCUGCCCACACGCCCGCAGUCGCCUCUCUCUGCCGGUCCCGUUACGGGACAGUCCGGUGUGGGGAGGGGGAUCUGUACAGCGCGACAGGGCGGGGCGGGGCGGGGCGGGGGGCAGGGAGGAAUGCAGUCAGGACGGGGAGCGGAGGGAGAGGUCGGGACGAGACUCUACUCCUCCUUCUCCUCUCCGUGUGUGAUGACGUAGCAGAUGUUCUUGUAGUCGACAUUGCCGGCCACAUCUGGAGGGAAGGCAGUCCAGAGGUUCUUCAUCUGAGAGAGAGAGAGAGAGAGAG